CCGCNNGGCUGGGUAUAACNUUNGGACNCANAUGCUAAUNCCGAAUAAAACUCAGUAUCGCAUGAUAUAAAGUUAAAAGGCGCUACGGCGUCACCUAGAGAUGGAUCCGCGGUGCAUUAGUUAGUUGGUGGGGUAAAGGCUUACCCAGCCAAUGAUGCAUAGCCCAGUUGACCANCUGAUCGGCCACAUGGGGNGCCAUUNACGGCCCNAACUCCUACGGGAGAGCUGCAGUACGGGAAUCUUCCACAAUGGGCGCAAGCNUGAUGCGAGCAACGCCGCGUGUGUGAUGAAGGCUUUCGGCGUCGUAAAGCACUGUUGUAUGGGAAGCAAAUNACUAAAAUAGNGCAANUAUUUUAGUUNCACGGUACCAACCACAAGNNNG
rnacentral:rRNA from 1 species